rnacentral:rRNA from 1 species
UACGUAGGGGGCAAGCGUUGUCCGGAUUUAUUGGGCGUAAAGAGCGUGUAGGCGGCUUUGCAAGUCCGUCGUGAAAACUCGAGGCUCAACCUCGAGACGCCGGUGGAAACUGCAAAGCUAGAGUCCGGAAGAGGAGAGUGGAAUUCCUGGUGUAGCGGUGAAAUGCGCAGAUAUCAGGAAGAACACCCGUGGCGAAGGCGGCUCUCUGGGACGGUACUGACGCUGAGACGCGAAAGCGUGGGGAGCGAACAGG